ACCUCCCCCCGCAAUCAGAACAAACCUUUCAGGUUGGCAAAGGAGGAGGUGAGCCGGCAGGAGCUGAGACAGCGGGUCCGCAUGGCAGACAAUGAGGUCAUGGAUGCCUUCCGCAAGAUCAUGGCUGCACGGCAGAAGAAGCGUACCCCCACAAAGAAGGAAAAGGACCAGGCCUGGAAGACCCUGAAGGAGCGGGAGAGCAUCCUGAAGCUCCUAGACGGGUAGCCUUACCUGCUGCUGGCCAUCUCCCUGGCCUGGCAGAAGUCUACUUCCUCUGAAGCCUUGACCAGAGGCUGCCUAUCAAAUGACAACAGUCUCAGGGCUGAAACACUCUCAGGCCACUCAGCCGAGCUUUGUGCAGCCAGUGUGCAAGGCCUUACUGCGCUUGCCUGGACCUAGCAUCUGCCUGAUGCCCCAGAUGAGCAGGCUUGUUCCUCGUCCCCUUUCCCUCAUACCAUCUCCACACCUCUCCCUCAAGGACUUCUUCCUUGAGGUUUUGUAAAGUACAAACUUAAGAAUAAAGUGAUUGCUGUGUUUUGGUUUUUUUAAAG
rnacentral:lncRNA from 1 species